rnacentral:tRNA from 1 species
CCGCCUGUAGCUCAGCGGGAAAGAGCAACGGACUUCUAAUCCGUAGGUCAGUGGUUCGAGUCCACUCAGGCGGGCCA